rnacentral:rRNA from 1 species
GGCAAACGGGUGAGUAAUGCAUAGGUAAUGUGCCCCUAAAAUUGGAAUAACUUUUUGAAAAGAAAGCUAAUACCGAAUAAUUUCUUAUAUCGCAUGAUAUUUGAAUAAAAGAUUUAUCGUUUAGGGAGCGGCCUAUGUCUGAUUAGCUUGUUGGUAAGGUAAUGGCUUACCAAGGCGACGAUCAGUAGCCGGCCUGAGAGGGUGAACGGCCACACUGGGACUGAGACACGGCCCAGACUCCUACGGGAGGCAGCAGUGGGGAAUAUUGCGCAAUGGGGGCAACCCUGACGCAGCGACGCCGCGUGAGUGAUGACGUCUUUCGGGAUGUAAAACUCUGUCAAGAGGGACGAUUAUGACGGUACCUCUAAAGGAAGCCACGGCAAACUACGUGCCAGCAGCCGCGGUAAUACGUAGGUGGCGAGCGUUAUCCGGAUUUAUUGGGCAUAAAGGGCGUGUAGGUGGUAUUUUAAGUCAAAAGUGAAAUCUUUCAGCUAAACUGACUGCUGCUUUUGAAACUGAAGUACUAGAGAUUAAGAGAGGAAAGCGGAACUCACGGUGGAGCGGUGAAAUGUGUAGAUAUCGUGAGGAACACCAGUUGCGAAGGCGGCUUUCUGGCUUAAUUCUGACACUAAUGCGCGAAAGCGUGGGGAGCGAACGGGAUUAGAUACCCCGGUAGUCCACGCCGUAAACUUUGUUCACUGGGUGUAGGAGGUAUCGACCCCUUCUGUGCCAAAGAUAAUUCGUUAAGUGAACCGCCUGAGUAGUACGACCGCAAGGUUAAAACUCAAAGAAAUUGACGGGGGCCCGCACAAGCAGUGGAUCAUGUGGUUUAAUUCGACGAUACCCGAAGUACCUUACCAGGUCUUGACAUCUACGGAAUACCUUAGAAAUUAGGUAGUGCCCGCAAGGGAGCCGUAAGACAGGUGGUGCAUGGCUGUCGUCAGCUCGUGUCUUGAGAUGUUGGGUUAAGUCCCGCAACGAGCGCAACCCUCGUUUUGUAUUGCCAGCACGUAAUGGUGGGAACUUACAAGAUACAGCCUGUGUUAAGCAGGAGGAAGGUGGGGAUCACGUCAAGUCAUCAUGCCCCUUACGACCUGGGCUACGCACAUGAUACAAUGGCCGGUAUAAAGGGUCGCUAAACCGCGAGGUCAUGCUAAUCUCAAAAAACCGGUCUCAGUUCGGAUUGCAGUCUGCAACUCGACUGCAUGAAGUUGGAAUUGCUAGUAAACGCAGAUCAGCUAUGCUGCGUUGAAUACGUUCCCGGGCCUUGUACACACCGCCCGUCACACCAUGAGAGUUAGGAGUACCCGAA